rnacentral:rRNA from 1 species
CAGUCGAACGGUAGAGCAGCAAUGCGUUGAGAGUGGCGAACGGGUGAGUAAUAUAUCGGAACGUGCCCAGUCGUGGGGGAUAACGUAGAGAAAUUUACGCUAAUACCGCAUACGAUCUAAGGAUGAAAGCGGGGGACUCGCAAGAGCCUCGCGCGAUUGGAGCGGCUGAUAUCAGAUUAGCUUGUUGGUGAGGUAAAAGCUCACCAAGGCGACGAUCUGUAGCUGGUUUGAGAGAACGACCAGCCACACUGGGACUGAGACACGGCCCAGACUCCUACGGGAGGCAGCAGUGGGGAAUUUUGGACAAUGGGCGAAAGCCUGAUCCAGCAAUGCCGCGUGUGGGAAGAAGGCCUUCGGGUUGUAAACCACUUUUGUACGGAACGAAACGGUCUGCUUUAAUACAGUGGGCUAAUGACGGUACCGUAAGAAUAAGCACCGGCUAACUACGUGCCAGCAGCCGCGGUAAUACGUAGGGUGCGAGCGUUAAUCGGAAUUACUGGGCGUAAAGCGUGCGCAGGCGGUUAUAUAAGACAGUUGUGAAAUCCCCGGGCUCAACCUGGGAAUUGCAUCUGUGACUGUAUAGCUAGAGUACGGUAGAGGGGGAUGGAA